UACGUAGGGUGCGAGCGUUAAUCGGAAUUACUGGGCGUAAAGCGUGCGCAGGCGGUUCGUUGUGUCGGCGGUGAAAGCCCCGGGCUUAACCUGGGAAUGGCCGUCGAAACUGGCGAACUGGAGUGUGGCAGAGGGGGGUGGAAUUCCGCAUGUAGCAGUGAAAUGCGUAGAGAUGCGGAGGAACACCGAUGGCGAAGGCAGCCCCCUGGGCUGACACUGACGCUCAGGCACGAAAGCGUGGGGAGCAAACAGG
rnacentral:rRNA from 1 species